UACGUAGGGUGCGAGCGUUGUCCGGAAUUAUUGGGCGUAAAGAGCUCGUAGGUGGUUUGUCGCGUUGUCCGUGAAAACUCACAGCUUAACUGUGGGCGUGCGGGCGAUACGGGCAGACUGGAGUACUGCAGGGGGAGACUGGAAUUCCUGGUGUAGCGGUGGAAUGCGCAGAUAUCAGGAGGAACACCGGUGGCGAAGGCGGGUCUCUGGGCAGUAACUGACGCUGAGGAGCGAAAGCGUGGGGAGCGAACAGG
rnacentral:rRNA from 1 species